rnacentral:rRNA from 1 species
AUUGAACGCUGGCGGCAGGCUUAACACAUGCAAGUCGAGCGGAGCGAGGGUGCUUGCACCUUAGCUUAGCGGCGGACGGGUGAGUAAUGCUUAGGAAUCUGCCUAUUAGUGGGGGACAACAUUCCGAAAGGAAUGCUAAUACCGCAUACGCCCUACGGGGGAAAGCAGGGGAUCUUCGGACCUUGCGCUAAUAGAUGAGCCUAAGUCGGAUUAGCUAGUUGGUAGGGUAAAGGCCUACCAAGGCGACGAUCUGUAGCGGGUCUGAGAGGAUGCUCCGCCACACUGGGACUGAGACACGGCCCAGACUCCUACGGGAGGUAGCAGUGGGGAAUAUUGGACAAUGGGCGGAAGCCUGAUCCAGCCAUGCCGCGUGUGUGAAGAAGGCCUUUUGGUUGUAAAGCACUUUAAGCGAGGAGGAGGCUACUUAGAUUAAUACUCUGGGAUAGUGGACGUUACUCGCAGAAUAAGCACCGGCUAACUCUGUGCCAGCCGCCGCCGUAAGAC